UACGUAGGGUGCGAGCGUUAAUCGGAAUUACUGGGCGUAAAGCGUGCGCAGACGGUGAUGUAAGGCAGAUGUGAAAUCCCCGGGCUCAACCUGGGAACUGCAUUUGUGACUGCAUCGCUGGAGUGCGGCAGAGGGGGAUGGAAUUCCGCGUGUAGCAGUGAAAUGCGUAGAUAUGCGGAGGAACACCGAUGGCGAAGGCAAUCCCCUGGGCCUGCACUGACGCUCAUGCACGAAAGCGUGGGGAGCAAACAGG
rnacentral:rRNA from 1 species